ensembl:lncRNA
GCCUUCCAAUGCGGGAGAUGCAGCUUCCAUCCCUGAUGGGGGAGCCAGGAUUAAACAUGCCGCGGGGCCAAAAAUCCAAACAAGAACACAAAAGCAGUAUUGGAACAGACUCAUAAAGACUUUAAAAGUGGUCCACGUCAAAAAAAAAUAUCUUAAAGAGAUGGGAGAAAAGAAUGGCAGUCGGUUUUAUUGGGAUUCCAGUAGAUCUCAGUCACCAGAACAAUGGACUUGUGGAGACUGCACUCACCAGAAGAUCUCCAGUGCACCUCUAGGGACAGUCUCUCCCACACCCUCUCAAAGUCCGGGUGCCCCAGAGAACCUUCACUAAAAGGGUGGUCUGCUGCCCCUCACCUUCGCUUGGGACUCUUCCCCGAAAGCGGUGGUUGACGGUGACGUAGUGACAGUGAUGCAAAGCUGAAAACAGGCGUCUGGAGCUUGGAACGCCUUCUCUGCAAUGCAGGUCACUUUUCUUCCUGUGACAGAACUCUCCCCUGUGCAUCAGAAGACUGACUUCAGGGCCUGAGACGUCACGGAUGCCAAGCCCAGCUUCUCAAGUCGUGUCUUAAAUCAUGAAACGCAGCUUGAGGACUUGAAUGUAG